AAAAAAAACCGAGCAAUUACUAUUAAUUGGAGCGCUAGCGUGGUGCCUGCGAGUGCUAUCAUUCUUGCUCCUACGUACACAAAUGUUGUUGAAAACCUCGCUGCUGUACAU
rnacentral:rRNA from 1 species